rnacentral:rRNA from 1 species
AACAGGAUUAGAUACCCUGGUAGUCCACGCCGUAAACGAUGAGUGCUAAGUGUUAGGGGGGUUCCGCCCCUUAGUGCUGCAGCUAACCCAUUAAGCACUCCGCCUGGGGAGUACGACCGCAAGGUUGAAACUCAAAGGAAUUGGCGGGGACCCGCACAAGCGGUGGAGCAUGUGGUUUAAUUCGAAGCAACGCGAAGAACCUUACCAAAUCUUGACAUCCUUUGACCACUCUAGAGAUAGAGCUUUCCCCUUCGGGGGACAAAGUGACAGGUGGUGCAUGGUUGUCGACAGCUCGUGUCGUGAGAUGUUGGGUUAAGUCCCGCAACGAGCGCAACCCUUAAGCUUAGUUGCCAUCAUUAAGUUGGGCACUCUAGGUUGACUGCCGGUGACAAACCGGAGGAAGGUGGGGAUGACGUCAAAUCAUCAUGCCCCUUAUGAUUUGGGCUACACACGUGCUACAAUGGACAAUACAAAGGGCAGCUAAACCGCGAGGUCAUGCAAAUCCCAUAAAGUUGUUCUCAGUUCGGAUUGUAGUCUGCAACUCGACUACAUGAAGCUGGAAUCGCUAGUAAUCGUAGAUCAGCAUGCUACGGUGAAUACGUUCCCGGGUCUUGUACACACCGCCCGUCACACCACGAGAGUUUGUAACACCCGAAGCCGGUGGAGUAACCAUUUAUGGAGCUAGCCGUCGAAGGUGGGACAAAUGAUUGGGGUGAAGUCGUAACAAGGUAACC